GUUUCUAAAUUCUCUGAUUCUCAUAUGAAAUUGAGCGGCGAGGCCCAGCACGGUGAAGGGAGUAAGAUCCAGAUACCUAAAACAGUUCCUCUCAGUGAAUUACCUAUCGUCGUCGGAGAUUCCCAGAUCAAGCAUCUCUUGGAACAGUUCUCGAUGAUAAAGAUGAAUGAAUCCUGGGGAACAACAGGAUGCGCUACUGUGUUUGUGGAAGUCGAAGAAGGAGUCACUGUUCUUCAC